GACAGAGGGUGCAAACGUUGUUCGGAAUUACUGGGCGUAAAGCGCGUGUAGGCGGCUAUGUAAGUCGGGCGUGAAAUCCCACGGCUCAACCGUGGAAGUGCACCCGAAACUGCGUAGCUAGAGUCCUGGAGAGGAAGGUGGAAUGCUUGGUGUAGAGGUGAAAUUCGUAGAUAUCAAGCGGAACACCGGUGGCGAAGGCGGAUCUCUGGGCCGAUACUGACGCUGAGGAGCGAAAGCGUGGGGAGCGAACAGG
rnacentral:rRNA from 1 species